AUUAGUUUGUUGGGGGGGUAACGGCCCACCAAGACUACGAUGGAUAGGGGUUCUGAGAGGAAGGUCCCCCACAUUGGAACUGAGACACGGUCCAAACUCCUACGGGAGGCAGCAGUGAGGAAUAUUGGUCAAUGGACGCGAGUCUGAACCAGCCAAGUAGCGUGAAGGAUGACUGCCCUAUGGGUUGUAAACUUCUUUUAUAUGGGAAUAAAGUUGUCCACGUGUGGAUUUUUGUAUGUACCAUAUGAAUAAGGAUCGGCUAACUCCGUGCCAGCAGCCGCGGUAAUACGGAGGAUCCGAGCGUUAUCCGGAUUUAUUGGGUUUAAAGGGAGCGUAGGCGGAUUGUUAAGUCAGUUGUGAAAGUUUGCGGCUCAACCGUAAAAUUGCAGUUGAUACUGGCAGUCUUGAGUGCAGUAGAGGUGGGCGGAAUUCGUGGUGUAGCGGUGAAAUGCUUAGAUAUCACGAA
rnacentral:rRNA from 1 species